rnacentral:tRNA from 1 species
GCGCAACUUGGCGCGGUCGACGCCGCCUGCGGCAUUGAGGGUGCCGGGAAAGCGAGCGCCGAUCUUGUCGACGGCCGCGCC